UACAGAGGGUGCAAGCGUUAUUCGGAAUUACUGGGCGUAAAGCGCGCGUAGGCGGUUCGAUACGUCGGGUGUGAAAGCCCUGGGCUCAACCUGGGAAUGCCAUUCGAUACUGUCGAGCUAGAGUAUGGUAGAGGAAAGCGGAAUUCCACAUGUAGCGGUGAAAUGCGUAGAUAUGUGGAGGAACAUCAGUGGCGAAGGCGGCUUGCUGGACUAAUACUGACGCUGAGGUGCGAAAGCGUGGGGAGCAAACAGG
rnacentral:rRNA from 1 species